CUCCUACACUUCUUUUCUCUCAAGUAUAUUUUGCUUCCUCUCCUAAAUUUAAAGGUCCAAAUUCACAGAGGUACUUUGGCCUAUAACCCCCUGACACGUAAACCCCAGUUUAGGCUCCACUGUAAUUUUCAAAAUUCUUAUUAGCUGCCAUGUGCACUGACUUGAUGCUUAAAUUUUUGCUGUAUAAAUUCUCUAGGAACCUAUGUUUUUGCCUCUCAACUACUGUUUCAGUAAGUGCUUGGCUCCCUGUCCCCUACCUAAGCCUUAGAGUGAUCCACGCACAUGGGGCAUAGAGGUGGUUUUCUGCAUAUUUUGCCUGUAAGGGCCUAAUCCAGUUGGUGUGCUCAGAGGCUGCCUACUGCAUCAGGUCCCAUUCAAAAUCUGGCUAGCAAUGGUACUGCUAGUACCCACCUUAUACUUAUUGCAAAGUGGUUAAUGCAUUUACGGGGGAGAACCAGGUUCAAUUUCCCCCACUUCUGCAACCCCCUGGCCACAGGAGCAUAUGGGAUUUGAGCUUUUGGGAGCAUGCUUUGACCAGAAUUCUAGUUGUGUGAUAGACUGAUGCGAGACUCCCUCAAAAAUUAAGGAGUCUCUGGGCUCAGGAAAGAAUGGAAAUGACUCUAUAGUCUGGUGAAUAGAAUGUCCACUUGGGUGACCAGUAGUGAGUUCUUCCUGCUUCCAUGGUCUCUAUGAUUAUUUAACCAGAAUAGAAGAAACAGUUUCAACAGGAGAGACUGUGGGAGGGGAAUCCUCCCGCUCCCCCCCCAAAAAAAUUAUUCCAUAGCUCAGUGAGUAGAGCCAUGUCCUGAAUGAUGGAAGUUUCCUGUUCUAACCAUUUCUACUCAUAAAAUAGGCAGGUAGGAGUAGAACCUGCAUCUCCCACAUCCCAGAUGAGCAGUCCAAUCACUGAGCUAAACAUUUAAAGGCAUCACCACCCUCGUUGUAUAUGAAGGGAAGCAGGCACUGAACUAAUUUUUGACUGAUACAGUUUAGGUGCCUAAGCUGCCAUUGCUUUACAAUUAUAGACUUCCUUGCAUGCUUAUAUUUCUGGAGUUUUGUUUUUAGGUAGACUCUUUUCUUUUCCUGGAAGAGGAGAAUAGCAUAAUGUAACAAUAAUUGAACAUAUUCAUUUUUCCCAUGAUGUAUUAACAGCAUAGGAGGACAUUAAAUAGAACCAUCUUGGUUCAGUUAUUAUUUGGACUAACAAAGCUUUAGAAUUCUGGUCACCAACAGAACUGGGUUGCAUUGUUGUCAGACACAUGUAAAUAAUAACCAGUCAGUGGGCAGUACUAACUUUGAUCUUUUAUUUUCUUCUUUUAGUUUUGGAAAUUAUUGUCAUAAUGGCACCAAGACAUUUCAUAAUUUCUGGGAAUUAUCACACUUGUUGAGUAGCUAGCCACUUGGCCUCCUGCCACAUCUCUCAAACUACUAAUAGUAAUGGAUUGGGGACUUUGUGUGUGUUUUUAGCACUCAUUAAAGAUGCCAGAUUGGCAGCCCUGGCAAAUGAAGUUGUCUUUAUUUGCAAACUAGGCACAGUAUGAGCAGCAGCAGAGUGUACUUUUCCAUUCUGUGCCACAAAUGUGCCCUAAUGAGGAUGAAAUGCUCUGGGUGUUGUUACCCUCUCUACUGAGAGUGCCAAUUUUGGAGGCUUGUUUCUCUGGAGAACACCACAGGGAACUGGAGUAUGAGACCAAGCAACUCCUUUCAUGAAGGGCACUGAAGAAUCAUCAUCUGGCAAUACCUUUCAGUCACUACCAACCUACGUAAAACUUGAGCUGGAGGGUGAGAAACUUUGUAUCUUAUAGCUAAUCCCCAGAGUUAGCAAGUCCAUAACUAACAGCCAUAUUAUUAGUUCAUGUGCUUUACAUUUCAGACGGACAGUGUCAUUCUGUAUGAUAUCAUCUGAGGUGAAUGCUCUGCCCACCCUGUCUUUCUUAUCCAUCCCACACACCAACUAUCUUCUAGAUUAGAAUCCCUUUAAAAUAGUAACUAGUAACAGUCAGAUUCUAUGUGCAGUGUGAUUUCAUUGACUUCAGUGAGUCUGUACUGGUAUAACUGAGUGGAGAGACCAUAAAAGUACUCUAUAAUCAUAUUAACUCUUCUUGUUGAACUUGACCCAAGGUUUAUGUUCCUUUCCAAUUAAAACAUAAGGGAGUAUGGAGCAUAAUGGGAUAUUAUUGUACCAAUUUCAUAUUGAAAUUAUCCAAAUAAUGAGUUAGAUACUGUUAGGCCAGGACCUGCAUAGACAAAGUGACAAUGGUGCAUAUCUAUGAACAACCUACAAUGGGUUGUCUAGCUCUCCUCCAGAGCCUGAUAGGGAAACCACCAAGUAAGGGCUACCUGGCAUGAAUGCAGAUAUGCAUUGCAUAUCUGUGUGUCUUUUGGUUAAUGUCUUCCUGUCUCUCUCUUUAAUUAAUCAAGGUCCACUACAGGUUGAACCUCUCUAGUCUGGCACUCUAGUGGUGUCCUGGUCUGCUCUGCUUCCUGCCACUCCCAUUGACCAGGAAUGGUGAUCCAUAGAAAAUAGAAGCUGUGAUUGCUGGUACCUGCAGAGGCACAGGGUACUGGGAUGUCACAAUCAGAAGAAGGAGACUUUCUCUGCCUCAGUAUGGAGAGUCUUCCAGACUAACUCCAUCUCUUGGAGGACAGUUUAUUCUAAGAAAAACUGGAAGGGCACGCAAGAUACCUGGAAAACUCACCCAAAACAUCAGACUGUUCUAGCAGCAGCAACAAAGUUAACCUGCUGCUCUUUGGCCUGGCUUGAAGGAAAAGGGAGGGACAGCAACAGAUCUGUGUUGAAAAGCUAGUAGUGGUUUACAGCUACAUAUCAUUUCAGCAGCACGACAAACAAAUGAACAAGGAAAUCAGCAGCAGACGGGUGUAAUCAGCUAUUGUCUGUAAUUGUUUUGAGUUCUUUGCCUAUCAUUCCUUGUUGGGAUUGAGCAUUAUUCUUCUGAUUAUAUGAACCUGACAGCCUGAUCAUAA